GACGAACGCUGGCGGCGUGCUUAACACAUGCAAGUCGAGCGGAAAGGCCUGCUUUCCCUUGUGGAUUGCGGGUACUCGAGUGGCGAACGGGUGAGUAACACGUGAGUGAUCUGCCCCCAACUUGGGUAUAAGCCUGGGAAACUGGGUCUAAUUCCCGAUAGGACUGCAGGGUGGUGCCUGUGGUGGAAAACGAUUUUCUAGUGGUUGGGGAUGAGCUCGCGGCCUAUCAGCUUGUUGGUGGGGUAAUGGCCUACCAAGGCGGCGACGGGUAGCCGGCCUGAGAGGGUGGGCGGCCACAUUGGGACUGAGAUACGGCCCAGACUCCUACGGGAGGCAGCAGUGGGGAAUAUUGCACAAUGGGCGGAAGCCUGAUGCAGCGACGCCGCGUGGGGGAUGACGGCCUUCGGGUUGUAAACUCCUUUCGACCGCGAGGAAGCCACCUGGUUGGAAGGGUGGUGACGGUAGUGGUAGAAGAAGCACCGGCUAACUACGUG
rnacentral:rRNA from 1 species